UACGUAGGGUGCGAGCGUUGUCCGGAAUUAUUGGGCGUAAAGAGCUCGUAGGCGGCCAACUAAGUCGGAUGUGGAAUCCCCAGGCUUAACCUGGGAACUGCAUCCGAUACUGGAUGGCUUGAAUCCGGGAGAGGGAUGCAGAAUUCCAGGUGUAGAGGUGAAAUGCGUAGAUAUCUGGAGGAAUACCGGUGGCGAAGGCGGCAUCCUGGACCGGCAUUGACGCUGAUGAGCGAAAGCUAGGGGAGCAAACGGG
rnacentral:rRNA from 1 species